rnacentral:rRNA from 1 species
UGACCGCUGGCGGCGUGCCUAAUACAUGCAAGUCGAGCGAACAGACGCGGAGCUUGCUCCUCUGACGUUAGCGGCGGACGGGUGAGUAACACGUGGAUAACCUACCUAUAAGACUGGGAUAACUUCGGGAAACCGGAGCUAAUACCGGAUAAUAUAUUGAACCGCAUGGUUCAAUAGUGAAAGACGGUUUUGCUGUCACUUAUAGAUGGAUCCGCGCCGCAUUAGCUAGUUGGUAAGGUAACGGCUUACCAAGGCAACGAUGCGUAGCCGACCUGAGAGGGUGAUCGGCCACACUGGAACUGAGACACGGUCCAGACUCCUACGGGAGGCAGCAGUAGGGAAUCUUCCGCAAUGGGCGAAAGCUUGACGGAGCAACGCCGCGUGAGUGAUGAAGGUCUUCGGAUCGUAAAACUCUGUUAUUAGGGAAGAACAAAUGUGUAAGUAACUAUGCACGUCUUGACGGUACCUAAUCAGAAAGCCACGGCUAACUACGUG